GAUAAAGCUUAACCCACCAAAUGGCUCGAUAUAUAUGGAGCGUCAGAUGAAUUUUCACUUGCUCAUCAUCAUCAAACUAAGACUGCAUAACAACUAUUAUUGAGUAUAUGGUUGGAACCUGCUGCAAGCAAAGAGAAAAAGCAUGACCAUGACUAAACGUUUGGUUGUCAAUAUUUUCAUAGGAUUGCCAGAGCACUUGUUGCAAAAAACUCGUUUGCAAGAAUAUGCUCAAAAAUCAGGGUUAGAUCUUCCUGUGUAUGAUAGCAGCAGUGAAGGGUUUCCUCGUGCCCCGAGGUUCAAGGCCAGCGUUCGUGUCAAUCAAACCACUUACACUUGUCACUAAACUUUCCCACACCGGAAACAAGCUGAACAAAAUGUUGCUAAAAUUGCUCUUCAAGCCAUCAAACAAGCUAGUGCAAUCAAGGAUAAAGAUUAUAAACAACUCACCAUUUCUACUAUUUACCAGGUACUAUUUCAUUCUUGUUAGUUGAACUUGAUUGGGAUUUUGUUCUAACUUUAUAGUCACAUUGUAUGUAUGUAGAAUCUAAAAUGUUGCAAAUCAAUUCUUAACGAGUAUGCUCUUAGAAUGAAUCACGCAAGUCCUACAUACACAACUAUCCAACAGGAUAAAUUCCACCCUGUUUACGUAUCUUCUUUGGUUUUUGAUGGUAAAACUUAUCGUGGCGAAGUUGCCGGAAGCAAGAAAGAAGCAGAACAGUUAGUUGCACGGAUUGCCAUCGAGUCUCUUCUUGUAUAUUCGUGUGUGUGGUGCAGGAUUCGAUUCAGGCAUUCUUCUUCAGAUCAUCAAUUCCAAAAGCAAAGCUCAUAAUGGUAGGAAUACAAUUAAUGGUCACAGCGGCAAUAUGAUCAACACUCAAAGGCCAGGUAAUAUUGUUGAAAUUAUAAAAUGUUUUUGAGUUAGAUAUUGAACUAAAUAGUUUGCUACUUGUUGUAGUUCUAGUAGGACCUUCAAAACAACCUGUCAAUGUUUAGGGUUCAAGUGUUAAUGCUAACAAUCACAACAAGCGAAAACUAGAGGGAGAUGAGUUAAUCAGAAACAAAUGCCAAGGCGUCAGCAGUAGGUUUCUGUUUCACUAAGUGGUAGACCUUUAUGCAAGUUUCUGAAGCUGUUUUCUUAUCACCAUGUACUGUGACAUAUGGUUGUAACUUCACUAGAAACGGUAGAUUUUACAUUAGAAACAUGGAAGCCACUGAGGCAUAUUGAUGAAAGAGUUUUGUGUUAUCUUGACCAGCCUGUUGUUUGGUUAUGGAGCCAAAUCGAAGAAGCAACUCUUCAAUCAUGGAAUUCAGGGCAUUUCCCCCUGAAUUUGAGCUAUGAUUUCUAGUUUUCUUCAUGCAAACAAGUAAAAACAGUAUGCAUGGUUCAUUAUAGAAUGAAGUGCUGUAAAUCAUUUAAGCAUUAA